UUAAAUUUGAAGAAACAUGCCAACAAAUGGAGCUGGAGACGUUAAGUUGGAGGACAAUGCCAACAAGGAGCUUAUGUUGAUGUUUUUGAGCUUAAGUUGACAUGGAGCUAAUUUUUAUGUUUUUAAACUUCAGAUAUGUUCGAUUUUAUUUGUAUACAUGUUAUUCAUUUCUGAAGGACAUACCAUUUUGAAAUGGUUGUGCAAAUAAAUGCACAAGUAUAGUUAAUGAAUUAGUGUAAUUUGAAUGGAUUCAAUUAUUUAUUUC
rnacentral:lncRNA from 1 species